rnacentral:misc_RNA from 1 species
GCUGAAAGUACAAAAAUGAUACAAACAAUGCCAAAACAGAUACAUGUUUAUCUCGAAAUUGUAAAAAGAUUUCUCCAAAUUCAUCAAAUGCGUAACUGUAUAUAAGAAACUGUAUCCUAGAAGUCUACCACUCAACAUGAUUUCGACCAAAGAAUACGAAUACACGUAUCAACUUUGGACCUUACGGACUUGUAUGUGGUGAGUAGAAUGCCUACGCCAGAUAGGUUGUGCUCCACUUUGGACAAGCGUGACAUAUUGCCCAUCCUUCACCGAGCUUUUGUUCACUAAAAGCUUGAUAGCUCGGGAAAAGGUCUCCUCUGCAUCUUCUGAAAACUCCAUAUAUAUUGGGACGACACCAUGAAACAGAGCAAGACGCUGCUUCACCCUUUCAUUGUUCGUGAAAGCAAAUAUUGUUGACGAAGGUCGCUUAUGACUUAGAAUUAUUGCCAUGGACCCAGUUCUUGUGAAGACAAUGAUGGGAGUGCUAAGGGUAUCAGCCAUUGUGGAAGAGUGGAAGGCAAACAUUUCACCCAUAUGGCCCUUAUGGGCGACAGAUUGGCUUGGAGAAGUAGUGCUGUUCUGUAGGCUUGACUCAGUCCUUAAUGCCACAACAUGCAUCACGUGAACUGCCUUCAACGGGUACUUCCCAUGAGCGGUUUCCCCUGAAAGCAUUAUAGCAUCAGCACCUUCACGUACUGCA